CCCGUGGGGACCCCCCUCCUUCCCCCCCCUCCACUCCCAGCCCAGCGAGGGCUCCGUGCCAGACUGAUAUCUAUAUAUAUUUUAUGAUAACUAUAGAGAUGCACUUCAAACCUGACAAAGGACUUUGACAGUUUUAAGCAUCUCUUUGAUUAAUACAUGACCUUUUAAUGCUUCGGAUUAAAUUAAUAAAUCUUUUACAUUCUAACCCAUCCUUGCUUGCAAAGGAAUGUUUUCCACGCGACCUUCUGGGCACAGCAGCCGACCCGACCCUCCGUCCCAAUGCACGUGCAGGGCAGGUGCAGCAGCACAUGGGGCAGGCACAGCAGUAUAUAUAGGGGCAGGUACAGGGAUAUGUGUGGGGCAGGUAUAGCAUUGUAUAUGGGGCAGGUAUAGCAAUGUAUAGGGGCAGGUAUAGCAAUGUAUAGGGGCAGGUAUAGCAAUGUAUAUAGGGGCAGGUGCAGCCAUAGGCGGCCUCGCAAUAUCCACACGGUGCAAAACCCGGCGAGGCGAGGACGGAGGGAUCCUCCUCGUGUCGGAAUCAUCCCUAAAAAUAGCAAGAAAAUUCAAAGCUGACAUUCAGGGCAAGGGGACGAGGAAGCCUGCAAAGUUGCUCACUCAGCCACCAGCGAUUGCAGCGAUCCUGUCUGCGUGUGCAGAUUCCUCUGCUGACCGGGCUGGAGCGCAGGGCUGCUCCUCUCCGCGUGGUUUCCAGGAGGUGGGAGCGAUGCGUGCAGGUCUCUGUCCCCUCCCCGUCCCCCAUCCCUGUGACCCCCAUCCCGUCGGGGUGCGGGGAUGGAGCUGAUGGGUUCGGGGGUGUGGUAAUUCCGUGCUGCGGGGCUCGACCCCAGCAGCUGACCCCCUCCCCCUGCCCGGAUUUGGGGUCGUUGCAGGCGGCAAACCCCGACCCUGAAGGCAGAGGGCUGCUGUGCAGUUGGGUGCUGUGUCUCUCCCUGCACCCAUGUGUUAUUCCGGCGGUGACUCACGUGUUAUUAGCAGCCAGGCAGUAUUCCCAAUUCCCUGGAGUUAACCCUUCGCUCGUCACUCACACAAACAGUGUCACAACAAACAGCGGCGGCGUUAUCCGCCUUAAUGAGAUUGGAUCUGCCGGGCUCCGGGAAUGUCAGUGCUGGAGGGGAAGCAAUGGGGAGAUGGUCGGGGGAUGGAGGUCAGGGGGGUGGGGGGGGGGGCUGGGGGACAGCCCACUGCUCUGCCACCGCCACCCUGGGGCUUUGGGCAUCGCUCAGCCCAUCAGUGCCAGGGAUGAGGGGCUCCUCGUGCACCCCCAUGCGUGGAGGAUUAGGAGGAAUUUCUUCCCAGAAACAGUGGUGGUGCGUUGGUACGGCUGCCCCGGGGGGGGUGCGGGGGGUCGUUGCCCCUGGGGGUGUUCCAGAACCGUGGAUGUGGCGCUUAGGGCAGUGGGCAGUAGUGGUGGGGAUGGGUUGGGGUUGGAGCCGGGGGUCUUGGAGGUCUUUUCCGACCUGAAUGAUUUCUGUGGUUCCAGGAGUUAGGAAACAGCGGGGAAGUUUCCUGCACCGCCAGACCGUUGGAACAGCACCCAAGUUAAAAAUAAUAAUAAUAAUAACAAUAAUAAUAAUAAUAAUAAUAAUGAUUAUUAGGAGAUUUUAAAAUUAGGAAGAAAAAAAAAAAGAAGGGUGCGCGCAUGGGGCAGAUGUGCACUCCGCGCUGUGCGGGUGCAACCCAGGAGAGGGCAGCAAUGCCCCAUAC
ensembl:lncRNA